rnacentral:rRNA from 1 species
CGGUGUUCAACUGGCGUGUCCGCGGGACGUCCUGCCGGUGGGCUUAGCCCGCAAGGGCGGCCCAACUUCAAAUCCCAUCGCGGUGCUCUUCACUGAGUGUCGAGGUGGGCCGGCACGUUUACUUUGAACAAAUUAGAGUGCUUAAAGCAGGCUAAAACUUCGCCUGAAUACUGUGUGCAUGGAAUAAUGGAAUAGGACCUCGGUUCUAUUUUGUUGGUUUUCGGAACCCCGAGGUAAUGAUUAAUAGGAACGGAUGGGGGCAUUCGUAUCGCGACGUUAGAGGUGAAAUUCUUGGAUCGUCGCAAGACGGACAGAAGCGAAAGCAUUUGCCAAAAACGCUUUCAUUGAUCAAGAACGAAAGUUAGAGGUUCGAAGGCGAUCAGAUACCGCCCUAGUUCUAACCAUAAACGAUGCCAGCUAGCGAUCCGUCGACGUUCCUCCGAUGACUCGACGGGCAGCUUCCGGGAAACCAAAGCUUUUGGGUUCCGGGGGAAGUAUGGUUGCAAAGCUGAAACUUAAAGGAAUUGACGGAAGGGCACCACCAGGAGUGGAGCCUGCGGCUUAAUUUGACUCAACACGGGAAACCUCACCAGGCCCGGACACCGGAAGGAUUGACAGAUUGAGAGCUCUUUCUUGAUUCGGUGGGUGGUGGUGCAUGGCCGUUCUUAGUUGGUGGAGCGAUUUGUCUGGUUAAUUCCGAUAACGAACGAGGCUCUAGCCUGCUAACUAGGCGUAUUUUCGACAUCUCAAAGGUCCGUCGUCCCGGCCCUCGGGUCGUGGGCGUGCGCGAUUUUUACUGUCGGCGUACUAUCAAUUCUUCUUAGAGGGACAGGUGGCUUCUAGCCGCACGAGAUUGAGCAAUAACAGGUCUGUGAUG